rnacentral:tRNA from 1 species
UCUAAGGUAGCUGAGUGGUUAAAGCAUCUACCUGCAAUGCAGGAGACCUGGGUUCAAUCCCUGGGUUGGGAA